rnacentral:rRNA from 1 species
ACCCGCUGAACUUAAGCAUAUCAGUAAGCGGAGGAAAAGAAAUUAACUAAGAUUGCCUCAGUAGCGGCGAGCGAACAGGCAUCAGCUCAAGCCUUGAAUCUGGAGUCUUGUACUUCAGAAUUGUAGUCUAAAGCGGCAGACAGAAGAUGAGGAGUUUGUGUAAUUUCCUUGGAAAGGGAAGCCGUAGAGGGUGAAAGCCCCGUUCCACAAUGCUCCUGUUGUAUGUCUGUUAGCAUAGAGUCGGGUUGUUUGGGAUUGCAGCCCUAAGUGGGAGAUAAACUUCUUCUAAGGCUAAAUAUUUAUGGGAAACCGAUAGCGAACAAGUACUGUGAAGGAAAGAUGAAAAGAACUUUGGAAAGAGAGUUAAAAGACUUGAAAUCGUUGAAAAGGAAGCGGUAGAAGAGUAUCAUAUCUGGGGUGGACGUAAGGCUGGUGAGUAUUGAUGUGCGCUUGGUGUGGUACGUUAAAGGCCUGCCAGGUGUGUCAUUACGGUACUCUCGCUGUCUUCCAUCCUGAUAGCAAGAUGGGGUUUGACAUGUCGGAUACGUUGUGUGGAAAGUCGUCUUCGGACAGUCCAUACAAAAUGCGGCAUGACUAGCCUGAGGGUGCUACGGCGAUCUUGCUUAGAUGGCUUC